GCCCUGAAGGAGCAGAUUUCUUUCAGUAAGUAAUUACCAGGCAGGAGAGGAAAAAAGGCUAAAGAAACCUGUAAAUAACCUCACAGGGAAAUGACACACUGAGCAAAUAGACGGAGGAAGGUUUUUCUGUUUGUUUGUUUAAUUUUCUACCUAUUCAACGAAAAGAAAGGGAACAAAUGAAGUCCAGAGAGAAUGUGCAAAUGAUAGCUUGCUGACCUAGAUGGUGAGAAUGGUGAAGCUGAGAAGGCAGUCUGCAGUGUGGAAAUCUGAGGAGGCUGAGGAACGAAAGCACUACCCGCCACUGACGCAAGAUUCAUACAAUGAUUUACUUUGCUGCCAAAGUCCUUCCAAUAUUUGAAAAACACAAGAAAGACCAUCAUCGUGAGGAAAGCCAAAUCGGAUUUGUCCCAGAAACAUCUUCAAGCAAAGGUUUCAACUCCACAGUCUUGGGGCCCAUUCUUCAGUGAGAAUUGGAUUUCUUGUGAUAUGAAGGAUAUGAAGGAUAUGAAGGAUAUGAAGGAUAUGAAGGAUAUGAAGGAUAUAUAUAUAUAUAUAUAUAUAUGAGAGAGAGAGGAGAUAGGAGAUAUCAUCUUAAGGACAAAGACAUGCCUUUCACACAAUCAUCUAAGACUUCCUUUGGUCACGUCUUCCAGCAGUAUUGGGAAAUGUCCUCUUCUGUCACAUUGGACAGUGGUGACACAGUGAGACUCAUCUGUUACUGACAUGUCUGCUCUGAUUCAGUAAUUAGCAUCAGAGAGCAAAGCGAGGGGGGGGGUAGCAUCUCCUGAGUACGGAGAGCAAUACUAUGUAAGAUUGUUGCUACACCCGCUCUGCCUCGCCCACACCCACACAGAGUAAGAGUGCUGUAGUAUUUUUAGAACCACACACUUAGAAAAAGUCCUUGUCUCAGAGUGAGUCCUAAAUCAGCCCGUGUAAGCUCCCAAUCUGUACAUCUCCACUAACAUCAGUUGAGCUGAGUUUCUCAAAAGGAUACACUGCAUUAAUUGAGGGCACCCAAUGAAUAAUUAGCAUGAAGAACUAAUUAACUUCUCUCUACUAGCACUUAGGAACAGGCAACUUAGAAAAGGGGAGAAGUGCAAUCCAGCUCCCAUGCCUUUGAGCUUCUCUUCUAGGGAGCGCUUUGUGCGCUAAGGCUCACACUGGUCAUUUCCCUCGACAGCGGUAAGGCCAGUAUUACUACCUCUCACUUAGUAAGAGAGAAUAAGAUCAAAGAAUCUAGAGAAGUUGCCGCGGGGCCAAGACAUAAAACGGGUGGAAGGAGAUUGGAUUCCAAACCUCCAUUUACACAUCGUGCUGGGGAGCCAGCACUGUCCUAUGGACAAGAAACAGGCUGGGAGGGACCUGGGAGCCGGUACAGUGGAGCAGAGAAUUAAUUACGAGCCGUGUAGCUGGUCAGUGCCAGACAAUAUGAUCAACACUUGACUUGCCUCUCUCACUUACUUACUUUGUCCCCCAACCCCCACCCAAAGCCCUGCAGGUUUAUAAGUUUCGGGACGAGACAGACAGACACUGGAUAAUUAAACAGGUCUCUUGACGCUGCACGGCGGGGUAACCCAAAGAUGAGUUCAUAGUCGUUCAUUAUUCUUUGUUCACCUCUUUCACCCCUGCUUCUCUUUCUUCUUCCACAUGUAAAAUCAGUAUGGGUCAAGCUGACCUCACUCAAGUUUAUUUUAUUGUAUUUUUUUAAAAAAGACCAAUAUCUCACCCUACUUUUGGAAUACCAACAUACUAUCUGGGGACACGGAGAGAGAUUUGGCUAGCAUUCUGCGCAUGUCAGCAGUAAACAUAGCUUUAGGUUUUGAUCCCUGAACCUUUUUGGCUAUUCUUUAAGCCUUCAUCAAGUUCCUUCUCAUUCCAUCUGAAAAUUAAAGUAGCUAGGCUACUUUAAAAGGGCUAAUAAACAACUUUGGCAAUGGCUUACAUUUUA